GUGGGGAAUAUUGGACAAUGGGGGGAACCCUGAUCCAGCCAUGCCGCGUGCAGGAUGAAGGCCUUCGGGUUGUAAACUGCUUUUGUACGGAACGAAAAGACUCCUUCUAAUAAAGGGGGUCCAUGACGGUACCGUAAGAAUAAGCACCGGCUAACUACGUGCCAGCAGCCGCGGUAAUACGUAGGGUGCAAGCGUUAAUCGGAAUUACUGGGCGUAAAGCGUGCGCAGGCGGUUAUAUAAGACAGAUGUGAAAUCCCCGGGCUCAACCUGGGAACUGCAUUUGUGACUGUAUAGCUAGAGUACGGUAGAGGGGGAUGGAAUUCCGCGUGUAGCAGUGAAAUGCGUAGAUAUGCGGAGGAACACCGAUGGCGAAGGCAAUCCCCUGGACCUGUACUGACGCUCAUGCACGAAAGCGUGGGGAGCAAACAGGAUUAGAAACCCGUGUAGUCC
rnacentral:rRNA from 1 species